UUAAAAAUUAGCCAGGUGGUGGCACCUGCCUGUAGUCCUAGCUACUCAGGAGGCUGAGGUGAGAGGAUUGCUUGAACCCAGGAGACUGGGGCUGCAGGAAGCUAUGAUCACACCACGGCACUCAGCCUGGGUGACAGACUGAGACCUUGUCUCAAUAAUAAUAAUAAUAAUAAUAAAACAAAUGAAGGGGUUGGUCUAGAUCAAAGAUUGGCACACGACAGCCUGCAGGCCAAAUCAAGCCACCAUCUGUUUUUGUAAAUAAAGUUUUAUUGAAACACAGUCAUAUUCAUUUUUGUAUUAUCUAUGGCUGCUUCCACACUAUAACAGCUGAGUUGGAGAAUGGCAACGAAGACCAUUUGGCCCACAUAGCCUAGACUGUUUACUAUUUUGCCCUUUUCAGAAGAAAAUUGUCUGUCCAUUGUUGCGGGAAGUCACAGACCCUGAAUGGAGAGACCGGCUGAAGCCGCGGCAGAAGAACAUAAAUUGUGAAGAUUUAAUGGACAUUUAUCAGUUCCCAAAAUUAAUACUUUUAUAAUUUCUUACGCCUGUUUUUACUGCAGUCUCGGAACAUAAAGUGUGAAGAUUUCAUGGACAUUUAUCACUUCCCCAAUCAAUACCCUUGUGAUUUCCUAUGCUUGUCUUUACUUUAAUCUCUUAAUCCUGUCAUCUUCAUAAGCUGAGGAUGCAUGUCACUUCAGGACCCUGUGAUGACUGCGUUAACUGUACAAAUUGUUUGUAAAGCAUAUGUGUUUGAACAAUAUGAAAUCAGUGCACCCUGAAAAAGAACAGAAUAACAGCAAUUUUCAGGGAACAAGGGAGAUAACCAUAAGGUCUGACUGCCUGCGGGGUUGGGCAGAAUAGAGCCAUAUUUUUCUUCUCACAGAAAGCCUAUAGAUGGAUGUGCAAGUAGGAGAAAUAUCGCUGAAUUCUUUUCCCAACAAGGAAUAUUAAUAAUUGAUAGCCCUGGGGAAGGAAUGCAUUCCUGGGGGAGGUCUAUGAAUGGCCGCUCUGGGAAUGUCUGUCUUAUGCGGUAGAGAUAAGGACUGAAAUAUGCCCUGGUCUCCUGCAGUGCCCUCAGGCUUGCUAGGACUGGGAAAUUCCAGCCUGGUGAAUUCUAGUCAGACCAGUUGUCUGCUCUCGAACUCUGUUUCCUGUUAAGAUGUUUAUCAAGACAAUGCAUGCACAGCGGGACACAGACUCUCAUCAGUAAUUCUAAUUUUGCCCUUGCCUUGUGAUCUUUUAUUGCCCUUUGAAGCAUGUGAUCCUUGUGACCUACUCCCUGUUCGUACAUCCCCUCCCCUUUUAAAAUCCCUAAUAAAAACUUGCUGGUUUUGUGGCUUGGGGUUGCCAUCACAGUCCUACCAAUAUGCGAUGACACCCCCGGAGGCCCAGCUGUAAAAUUUCUCUCUUUGUACUCUUUCUCUUUAUUUCUCAGACUGGCCGACACUUAGGGAAAAUAUAAAGAACCGAAAUUGAAAUAUUGGGGGCUGGUUCCCCCAAUAAUCCAUGGUCUAGAUCAGUGAUUUCAAACUGUUCUACAGAGACCUAAGGCUCUGUGCAGGUACCUCAGGGAAAAGGGAGGAACUGAGAGUGGGGCUCCAACCCCUGGCAUCUUCCUACCAAGACUACACCUCUUAUUUGUUGAAAUUAACUAGUUGAGGCCAGUCACGGUGGCUCAUGCCUGUAAUCCCAGCACUUUGGGAGGCCGCGGCGGUGGAUCACCUGAGGUCAAGAAUUCAAGACCAGCCUGGCCAACAUGGUGAAACCCUGUCUCUACUAAAAAUACAAAAAUUAGCCGGGCAUGGUGGCAUGUGCCUAUAAUCCCAGCUACUC
rnacentral:lncRNA from 1 species